AUAUAACGUAUGUACUUAAAACGAAAUAAUACUCCAAAAAUGCAUCGAUGUGCGCUUAGAUUGUUAACAAAUAUAAAGCUAAAAUGCGAAAAAAAAUUGUUUUUCGGUGAUUUCCAAUAUAGUAAAGCUGCAAUCCUUGUGUGACCUGUCCCCUGGUGAACGUUCCCGAACAUGAUUUCCCACGACGACUGCACAGGCCUGUCACUCCUCAUCCUUUUUACUACCGCCAACGAUGCGCCGCAUUAAUUAUCCAUCUCUUCUGCUCGUUAAUUAUGAAUUAACGUUUCGUUGUGCCAUUAUACACCUACCGAUUGCAUGCUUUUGACCGUUUGACCCGUGCCAUAUAAAACAUUAUUAUUAUUAUUAUUAUUAUUAUUACUAUUAUUAUUAUUUAUCAUAUUGUUAUGUGCUACUGUUAUAGGAUCGACCCUGGGCAUCUAAGCAUUGCCCCGACGGACUGUGAUUAUCAGUG